GUGGGUGCUGGGAACUGAACUCAGG
rnacentral:piRNA from 1 species